rnacentral:misc_RNA from 1 species
UUUGUAAACCACAUCUACUUUGCUUGUAUACACAAUCACAUAAUCCAUUAUAUCAUUGUAAAAGCAGUACUACUUUAAUCAAGGGGAAUCCUCAUUCAUGCCAGUUCAUUCAGGGUGUCAAGAGUGGGCUGCCUUCCCUGAUAAGAACAAAAACGCUGCCAGCAUCACCUCUGGAAAUACGAAGGUCUUCAUCAAGGUAUGAGGUCAGCAACCAUGACUGAGCACUGUUGUUUGAGAUGGGAAACUUCAAUGGUGGUUGGCUGGAAAUGGUCUUUGCUACCGAUGAUGCUGUAUCUUGGACAGAAGUUACUAAACCCUUAAUGGGUGUGAGGUCAAUCUUUUGCCCUAGGAAUUCCACAUUUUCAGGUAAUACUAUAGAGUCUGUCAGUUGGGGAGUCCCAAUGAUGCCUUCUUCAAACUUGAUCUAAACAAUAAAUAGAAACAUGAACAUGGUCAAGCUAAGCCAUGAACAUUAAAACAGAUAGAAGGAUAAAAUCUUUAUGUUUGUUCUUUCAUGACAAUUUCAAAACAUUUAACAGUUUGAAGUUUUAAAGAAGUGAACAAUGAGUCGAAUAAUCACUUCUAGAAUGGUUUUGCCCAACCAUAUGAAAAGAUAAAUUUGCAAAAAUUACAGAUGACAAGGAAGAAUGUCAAAUCCUAUCACAAAAUCUUAAAAAGUAAUUUAUUGUCCAAUAUUUAUCCAUUCAAUAGAGAGCAAACACCGGUCUUGAUUACAUCAAUUCCUGAUAGAUUCAUCUUUCAUCUUUAAAUACGUUUUCAAGAAUAAUCUUUGCUCCGUGUAUCCAAAGUUGCAGGUACAGUUUAGAAUGGUUGAUGGAUGUGUAUUAAUAAUGUAAAAACUACAAACCUGCACACGCUUUGGGCUUCGCACUUCAAAUUUAGCAUUGGUGCUGAUGGAAGUGGUAGCUAGUGGACCAGCAAACUGAACAGAAUUCUGGACAGUGAAAGUCUCCGAAUCAAUAAUCUGGGAUAUUUCUUCCACCUUUACCAAUGGAAAGGCACCCGUUGACAGCAGUGGAAAUAAACGUGAAAAAGAAGUGUACCCCAGAAUCCAUUUGCCGUUGAGCAGAGCCAAUGCCUCAGUGGGCGCGGGGGUAGGGUUCUUGGCUUCAAGCUGUGUAAUAAGCUCGACGAUCUCAGCUCUAGUCUCACUGCUAGCACUCAAUCCACGAUUGGUCCCAUAAAACAAAUCCACCAACUGUUUCUUGAGACGAUCAAUCUCCGUUAACUCCUUAGGCUUGUCCUCCUCAACCAGCCCAACCGUAGAGGCAGAACCAGAGCCAUCCUCAUCUGGACCCCAUUCGUCGUCAUCUUCCACGGCCCGAACCAAGAAGAGGGGCCUUAGCUUGAUAGGAUAUGUGGUGAGAAGUCUUGAUUUGGAGGUUGAGUUGGCGGUGUUGAUUGAGCAAAAAAGAGGAAUUGAGGGUGUGGAAGUGGAUUGAGAGUUAGGAGUUGGACGAGGCGUAGAGCUAGAGAGAGUGUUGCACGGAAAUCGAUUGAAUUGAGAGAUGGUAGCCAUAUCUAACUUUCUACGGUUGUUUGGCAGAAAGAGUUGCUCAACAGAGCAGGAUUAUGAAGAACAGAGUUGGAUCAAGUCGACAAGGGAAAAAGACUAUAUUAUCCCCGUUCUGAUCUCUUAUUUUUCUGCUGGGGAGAAGUUUCCAGAAGAAGAGCACGCCG